rnacentral:rRNA from 1 species
CAGUCGCCGCGGGAAUACGAAGGGGGCUAGCGUUGCUCGGAAUCACUGGGCGUAAAGGGUGCGUAGGCGGGUCUUUAAGUCAGAGGUGAAAUCCCGGAGCUCAACUCCAGAACUGCCUUUGAUACUGAGGAUCUUGAGUUCGGGAGAGGUGAGUGGAACUGCGAGUGUAGAGGUGAAAUUCGUAGAUAUUCGCAAGAACACCAGUGGCGAAGGCGGCUCACUGGCCCGAUACUGACGCUGAGGCACGAAAGCGUGGGGAGCAAACAGGAUUAGAUACCCCCGUAGUCCCUGUCUCUUAUAC